CUACGGGCGGCAGUGGGGAAUAUUGGACAAUGGGCGAAAGCCUGAUCCAGCCAUGCCGCGUGUGUGAAGAAGGCCUUCGGGUUGUAAAGCACUUUCAGUGGGGAAGAAAGCCUUGGGGCUAAUACCCUCGAGGAAGGACAUCACCCACAGAAGAAGCACCGGCUAACUCCGUGCCAGCAGCCGCGGUAAUACGGAGGGUGCGAGCGUUAAUCGGAAUUACUGGGCGUAAAGCGCGCGUAGGCGGUCUGAUAAGCCGGUUGUGAAAGCCCCGGGCUCAACCUGGGAACGGCAUCCGGAAAUGUGAGGCUAGAGUGCAGGAGAGGAAGGUAGAAUUCCCGGUGUAGCGGUGAAAUGCGUAGAGAUCGGGAGGAAUACCAGUGGCGAAGGCGGCCUUCUGGACUGACACUGACGCUGAGGUGCGAAAGCGUGGGUAGCAAACAGGAUUAGAUACCCGAGUAGUC
rnacentral:rRNA from 1 species